CCCCUUUCAGAGUCACAUCUGGAGAGUUUCCAGGACUCAACCAGUUUCAGCUAUGGGAGGGAGAGUCAGGCAGAGGCCUGGCCAUUCUAUUCCUAGCAUGGGCAGUGGCUAGUGAGUGGAAGGCAAUCUGCUACAAAU